rnacentral:rRNA from 1 species
GAUGAACGCUGACAGAAUGCUUAACACAUGCAAGUCUUUGGCGAAUCUGUGCUUGCACAGGCUAGCCAAGGCGGACGGGUGAGUAACGCGUAAAGAACUUGCCCUGCAGACAGGGAUAACAGACGGAAACGACUGAUAACACCUGAUACAGUUGCCGGCACGCAUGUGCCUGGCAAUGAAAAGAGAUGCUGCAGGAGAGCUUUGCGUCCUAUUAGCUUGUUGGUGAGGUGACGGCUCACCAAGGCGAUGAUAGGUAGCCGGCCUGAGAGGGUGAACGGCCACAAGGGGACUGAGAUGCGGCCCUUACUCCUACGGGAGGCAGCAGUGGGGAAUAUUGGACAAUGGGGGCAACCCUGAUCCAGCAAUUCUGUGUGCACGAAGAAGGUUUUCGGAUUGUAAAGUGCUUUCAGCAGGGAGGAAGAAAGUGACGGUACCUGCAGAAGAAGCGACGGCUAAAUACGUG